UAAACAAUGCUUGCUUCUUUAAAUAUUAAUGGCAAUCUGCUAAUCACAGAAACAUUCAAAUGCUGCGUCUGAAUGAUUUAAAAAUGUCGAACGGUGAAGGCAAAUGCCUUAACUAGAAUGGUGUACUUCCUCUCUGUUAAUUUGAUCUAACAGUUUAAUUGUAUAUAAAUAAAUCGCCUUUACUGCUUUCUGAGAAUAUUGUGCUCAAGGUGUUUUUUGUGUGUAUGGUCCUCCAGGUAAUUGGCACAGUCUGCUAUAAACAGGUGUUUUUGAGUUGUUCUGUAGGCUUGUUUUUCUUGACGGAUCUCUUCCAUCUGUGUGUAAACAGGUAAACGCUAUGAUGAGAAGGUGGAUAAUUUCUCCUUUGGCAUUGUGCUCUGUGAGAUUAUCGGUCAGGUUUAUGCAGAUCCCGAGUGUCUCCCGAGAACGCUGGACUUUGGGCUCAAUGUGAGAAAAUUCAUUGAGAAAUUUCUUCCUGAACACUGUCCUCCAGCUUUCUUUGCAUUGGCUGUGGCUUGUUGUGAUCUCAUCCCUGACAACCGGUAAGUGCCACUGUUUUGUCAUGAAUGUUCAGCGGUAAUAUUGAAGGUGAGUUUAAAAUAGAAACGAUAGGUUAUUCCCCAGUAAGACAGAUGUGAAAUGAUCAUUUCCUUCGGGUGGUGUGGCGUUCUGAUUAAUGAUCCGCGCUUGUGAAAGUUGCAGGGUUAAACCCUUGAACUGGGAUUUUCAGGUUUCCGUGAAGGAUACUUUUAUUCAUUAAAUUGAUUAAAAGUGACAUUUUGUUUUGUGAAUGUUAAAUUCUAAUUAAUGCUGUUCUUUUGAACUUUCUAUUUAGCGAGGAAUCCUGUAAAUAAAGUAUCAUGACUUCUACAAAAAUAUUAAGCAGCACAACUGUUUUCAACUGAUAAUAAAUCUAUCCAAAUCCCCAUAUUAAAAUGAUUUCUGAAGGAUCAUGCGACACUGAAGACUGCAUUAAGGGCAGGAACAAUAAACGAUUUAAAAUGAACAGUUAUUUUGAAUUGUAACGGUAUUUCAUAAUAUUAGAGCUUUGAAUUUUUGAUCAAUUAAAUGCUGCCUUUGUGAGCAUAAAAGACUUCUUUUAAAAACCAUACCGACCCCAAACGUUUGAACAGUAGUGUAUCUAGAUAUCACAUGUAUAAUGGUGAUUAACAU
rnacentral:lncRNA from 1 species